CGAUAUUCGUGCUGUCAGAGGAAACGCGAACCUAGCAGCCAGACUUCCGUUCGACCAUCGUUCUUUCGUUCUCGACCCGUCAAACCGACCACAAGGAAAAUGAGAGCUAAGUGGCGUAAGAAGCGUAUGCGUAGGUUGAAGCGUAAGCGCAGAAAGAUGCGUGCACGUUCCAAGUAGGUGCAGCGCCAUCGACCACUAACUGG